UCCAUGGCAACAGGAGCUGAUAGAACGAUGAGUUUUGGUAGCUUCAGUGAUGGGUUUGGGGCGUGGCUUCUAGUUGCUAUGACGACAGCGAAUGUGAUGCUUUUGUGGAUGAAGCAAAAAGACGUAUACAAAGUUUUUUGGAUGCUUCUCCUCCUCCUCCUCCUUUGACUCCACCCACUUCAUCAUUGACUGCCAGGAAAUACACUGAUACUUCAUUACUGCUGUUUCCUAAAAUACAGUGUCCUACUGAUGUCUCUUCUAUCCAAUCCACUGACACUACUAUUGAUGACCAGUGGAACAUUGCUGAUAGCAUAUCACAGAAAUACCUAACCAAGAACAUGAGCUUCUUUUAUGUCAAAAAGUCUAACGGUUGACAACAGCACAAUCAAGUUUCAAGUAUGGGAUACAGCUGGACAGGAGAGAUAUCGGUCGCUAUUACCAAUGUAUUACAGAAAUGCAGUAGCAGCCAUUGUGGUGUAUGAUACAACGAAUGAAG